UCAUGUUUACACCAGGGUUUACACAGUUGAUGGACAGCUGAACUUUUGAUUACGUUUUAGGUAUCCGCCAUUUUGAUUUUUCAAAUCUGACAGCUUUCUUGUUGCCUGCCUGCUGGAGGAUAAUCUGGAGAGUGUCAACAACACCACACAGCCUGCUCGGCUCGGCAAGCCAACCGCUGAGUAAGCGUAAAUUAAAUGACAUUGCAACCGGGGGAACGGGGUAGUAAGUAGUAUCUUCAAGCUAUAACAACGCAGCAGUCAUGAACAGCCGUCUGUGUCUGUGGGCCUCUGGUUGACCUGACAACAGCCUGAAAGUCGACCGUUCAGCUUGUAGAUGACGUCUGAUGACAAUGAUGGAUAAAAGGUUGAAGCCAAUCUCUCCUUGGUUUGUGUGUCUGCUGUUAGUAUGAAUGAACUGGAUGCGUUUGUGUCUUCAUCGUGUGAAUUUGCUGAUGCUGAUUGAUGUCCAGGCCAUGCGAUGUCAAUAAGGCAAAUGGCUGUUUAGCAAGAUCUGACUGAGGAUACUACUCCUUGUCCAUAUCUAAAGUGUAUGUGCCGGUGACGUCAGCCAUGUUUUGGAAGUUUGACUUACACACAUCUUCUCACCUGGAGGCUUUACUGGACAAGGAGGAUGUCACGCUCAUUGAGCUCAUGGAUGAGGAAGAUGUGUUGCAGGAGUGCAAGGCCCAGAACAGGAGACUUCUCCUGUUUGUGUGCCAGGACCAGUGCAUGCUGGACCUGGUCCAUAUGAUCACUACAGAGCCCCCUGCUGGUGUAGAGGAGACAAAGCGCUUCAAGUAUCCAAAUAUAGCAUGUGAGCUGUUGACAUGUGAUGUGGGAGUGAUCAAUGAUAAACUGGGUAAUGAGGAGCCUUUGCUUGAAAAUCUGUAUGCCUUCCUGGAGCAGCCGUCCCCACUUAACCCCCUCCUGGCAUCUUUCUUUAGCAAGACAAUUGGGAACCUCAUCACACGGAAGACUGAGCAGGUGAUUAGUUUCUUGCGACGGAAGGAGGGAUUCCUUUCCUUGGUCCUGAAGCAUAUUGAUACAUCUGCCAUGAUGGAUGUGCUGCUAAGACUUAUCAGCUGUGUGGAGCCACCCCCUCUUCGGCUCGAGACACUUAUUUGGCUGAAUGAAGAGAAGCUGGCCCAGAGACUCAUAGAGCUCAUUCACCCUGAGAGAGAUGAAGAGAGGCAGUCUAAUGCAUCUCAGACUUUGUGCGACAUCAUUCGUCUGAGCAGAGACCAGGCCAAUCAGCUCCAAGAGAUUUCACAGCCUGACCCUUUACUGACUGUACUGGAGUCGCAGGAGUGUGUGGAGCAGUUGCUGCAGAACAUGUUCUCAGCAGAGUGUAGUGAGAGCUGCAUCAUCAAUGGAAUUCAAGUUCUUCUCACGUUACUGGAAAUCAGGAGGCCUGUGGUGGAUGGUGUAAUGGAUGCUCAGGGAUUUGAGAGAAGUUACACUGUUAACAGCAGCAUUUUGUUGGCCAUCCAACCACACCUCAUACACUUCCACCAGCUACUUCUGGAGCCACCCAAGCGAAAUCCCAUGCUGACUACUCUGGGUGUGCUGGAGGAACCAUUAGGGAACACACGUCUGCACGUAGCCAGACUGGUGGCCUCUCUGCUGUAUACGAGCUCUGCUAGCCACGCUGUAGUAGCACAGGAACUUUGCCGACUCAACACAAUGGACCUGCUUCUGGACUUGUUCUUCAAGUAUACAUGGAACAACUUCCUGCACCUUCAAGUGGAGCUUUGUGUUGCUGCUAUCCUCCGGCCCUGUGCCCAUGAAAUGAGACUUCAGCCUGGUUUGGGAUCCCAGGACAAAUUCACGCCUCAUCAGGAUGCUUCACAAGAGCAGGCUUUGACUGACACCCAUUCUUCCCCUACAGCCACCCCGGAACACUCUGCACAUAAUCUAAUGGUGACUCAUUUGUUCCAACACUGCCACCUUGUCCAGAGGAUUCUGGAGGCCUGGGAAGAAAAUGAUAAAAUACAGUCAGAAGGUGGUAUGAGAAGAGGGUACAUGGGACAUCUGACCAGGAUUGCCAACACAGUAGUCCACAACCUGGAGAAGGGCCCGGUUCACACACAGAUUAGUAGCCUCAUCACAGAGCUACCAGAGGACUAUAGAGGGCGCUGGGAAACCUUUGUGGACCAGACCCUGUCUGAAACAAAUAGGAGGAACACCAUAGACCUGGUUGGCACUGGAAACCCACGCCCUUGCUCAGAGGAUGAUAUGGAGAGCCCCUUCCCUAAAGAACUGACACUACAGCAGGCCUUUUCAGAUUACCAGAUCCAGCAGAUGACGGCUAACUUUGUGGAUCAGUUUGGCUUCAAUGAUGAGGAGUUUACUGAUCAUGACGACAGCAUUGGAGCAACGUUUGACCGAAUUGCAGAGAUCAACAUCAACAUUGAUCCAGGCCAGGAUCCCACUGCUAAUACAGCUGUGUUUGAGACCUGUGCCAAGGAGAGGAUUCAGCCCUUUGAUGAUGAUGAAGAAGACAUUUGGGAGGAGAAAGAGAUCAACUUUGCAACACAAACAAAGUCCCGUAACAGGUUUGGUGGGUCACGAUCAUCCCAGAGCCCAGCAGCCAGUAAAGAUUGUGAUAGGACAGCAGCUUCUGGCACCGAGGCCUCUGACACUGCAGCAGACUCAGACUCUGAGGAGGGAGAGGAUCCUAAAGAUGACCUGGAUCCUUUCUCAAACCUGGGCCAGAACGAGGCAGCAAAGAGCACUGAGUGGAUAGCAGACUUCGGGGAGGUGAACUCAAAGGCUCCAGCACCAGGAGUGGGCUUUUCUGCCUGGGACACUCCAGACUCCCAACCAGCUGCCACAGAGGCAGAGGAGAAAGGAUGGGCCAAGUUCACUGACUUCCAGCCUUUCUGUUGCUCUGAAACAGGCCCAAGAUGCAGCUCUCCUGUGGACUCGGAGCUCAGCGGAUCAGGCAACACCAAACCAAACCAGAACCCGUGUGUGUGGAGUGUGUGUGUGGCGAGAAAAGCUCCACUGGUGGCAUCAGACAGCUCCUCCUCCAGCAGCUCAGACAGCGAUGAGGAAGAAGGGAAGACGGAGUCUGCAAGCAGCGACACGGUCACCACAGAAACCAUCACCACGGGGGCUGGCAAGGAGACCAUUCGGCUCACAGUGGACGCCAAAAAUGAAAGGGCAGUCUUCAGCAGAGUAUUCAGACCAGCAGUCAGACGCGAAGCAGAUAAGGUGCCAGUAGAGGGACUCUCCAUCAAAGACAAGGGGAAAAGCGAUGAGAAAGAAAGUGAAAAGGGAAAGAAACAUGAAGACUGUCCCAACCCAACUACUACCAGUCCAACUAACCAGUCGGCUGCUGUCACACAGAUAAAAUGAUGAAGUGACGACAUUUUGUACAGACGUGGAUGUAAACUGUAACUUCAAUGGUUGGCGGAGACACACAACCACGAGGCGAGAGUCGCAGCCCUCUGCUAAUGGACCGGCCUAACGAUGCAACACAGGCACACCACACACACACACACACACAGACACACACACACACACACACACAUGCUUCAUACCUGUCCAUUCAACACGCCGCAAUGCCACCUUUGCUUCCUGUUAGCAGCCCUCCAAUGCCCUUUUUUGUGUCCGAAGAAUGGCAGAUGCUCUGUGUUGAGGUCAAACAGCCCUUAACAGUAUGUAUGCCUGAUGACACAUAUCUACACAUUCUACACAUACUGUAGAUACAUUGAUCUCUCCUGCACCUUCAUGACAUAAUUACAACUGAACCUCUUCAAAGAGGAAUGUGUGUUUUAAAGAACAUUUCAUCGUACCAGACCCCCAAAAGCCAAAUUCUGUUAUAUAUGAACUAUUUUUAAAAUAUGAUUUUCCCAUUGAACUCGAGAGAGAGAGUGACAACAGUCUUACCUGUUGUGAUGAGCAGCGGUUACAGAGUGUUUGAGUGUCAGCUGUGGCAUUUUAAGAAGAUACAUACCUAACUCUGAAAUUUGACCUUUAUUGAAUUCAGCAUCAAAUUUCAGAUUGUUUGAGCAUGUCUGCUCUCUGGGCAAUACAUCACAGCCCAGAGAUUUUUUUCUAUUAGAGCAUUUGACUGUUUACACUUUAGUAGAGAAAACUGUAUUAAAAUAAUCAGCCAAGAUUACAAAAGCCAAGAUGCUUGCAAAGCUAGCUGCCGUUUUCUCUUCUGCAUUUCAAUGUACAUGCCAGGCAAACAUUUUAUUAGUGCAGAUGUGUGAGUGAUAAUAAUUUGGCUUAUUUCAUUCAUGCUACCUAAAUCAUUUCUCAGUCCAAGUAGGAUUUCUUUGCUUUGAUCAUGUGGAUCAUAGAUGCUCUCUUUUUUUUGGUAAUGUGGAGCAUCAGAUUUGGGAGCAUCGUGUGUCUCUUCCUCCUCAAACCUCUGACAGAUCCAUGUAGUUGAGAGGUGUGUGUGUGCUGUUGUAUCCAUGUGUGUGUGUGUAGACAUGUGUGUUUAUGUGUGUUUGAGCUCUGUCUGAGUUACAGAGUGUAUUCUCAGGUCCAAGGAGAGGUAUGCAGAUACAAAAGAAAGCACACCUGUGUAACACACACACACACACACUCAGUUGCCAUACACACAUGGAUACACAGCCAAAUCUAUACACGUGUGCAAAAAACACAGUGAUGUGCACAUACCAAUUCAUAUCACCCUCAGAGCUGUUUAAAUGUAAUAUUGUGAAAUUUGAACCUGUAUUAGGUUGUGGCUAUUCUUGGUAAUAUGUAAACGUAAUAUAAAUGUAAACAGUAUAUAUAAACAUUAUAUCUAUUUUUGGAAUAAAUCCAAUGUAUGGAAAGGCGGUUGUUUUGCAGGUUGCAACGUGUGUAUUGUAUGUGUGUGUUGUACUGUUGAAAUGAGGCAAUAAUGAUGUCUGUGUUUCGGUUAAUACCCCAGCAUCAGUUCCUGUUCCUCUGCUACAUGCUUCCUACAUGGAGGUUUGAGAGUGUGUGGGUGAAUGUGAGUCGGUAGUCUGGGCGGUGGUUCCUCCGUGUUAUUUACUUAAAGGAUAAUUGUGGUUUAUUAGAACUUGGGUCAUAUGGUGCACGAGAAGAGUCCAUAAGAACGCCCCCGUCUUGUGGUAUUCAUGACCUCAUAAGUGGAAAGAUUCUGAAUGCUCCGAGUUCACGAGUUGUUUGUUGACAUUAAAUUUUUCGGUACAUAAUAAAUUAAUAUAUUGUAAUUUUAGUCGUAUAUUGUAAUUCUUCAUAAUUUUAUAAUAUGUCUGAGGAAAAUGUUGAUAUUCCCAACGACCUCAUCUUUUUCCUCCGUUAUUAUGCCUUUGCAUUUCCUGCAUUAUGUUACCCUACUCUUGCUAGCUUGCUAAAUUGUAAGCUUUGUUGUUGGCUUCUAGAUGCCAACAGUAACGUUAAUAUUGCCGUUGCUUAGCAGCGGUGUUCUCACAACUUAUUAUAUUGUUUACACAACUUCCAAUGUUGUAAACACAAGCUCACAUGUUUCAUUUGAAGGCACCAGUAGUUUCAUUCAUCAGAUUAAAACAAAACACCAGGUUAACCGAUCUUGUUCGGAAGAGAAAACACAGGUGAACAUAAUAAAAUAAUACCAAAAUGACUGCUUCAGCUUCUACAUUUUAUCAUAUUAUUUGUGAGCACAAACUUUUCCUAAUGUAAUGUGGGAUUAUUAUCAACUAGAGCUGAACAAAUGUGUUGAUUAAUCCAAUAGUUGAUAAACAGAAGAAUAUUAGGCAACUAUGUUGAUAAUCAAUUAGUCGUUAAAGUCAUUUUUCAGGCACUUUUUCAGUUUCAGUUUCUCAAUUUGCAGCUUUUCUUUGUCUAAUGUUAUAAUAAACUGAAUGUCUUUGGACUGUUGGUCAGAUGGAACAAACAAUUUGAUGGGUUCACUUUGGGUUUUAAGAUAUUGUGAUAUUUUAUAGACCAAAAGAUUAAUCGAUUUAAUCAGUAAACCACUCCUCGGAUUAAUCGGUAAUGAAAAUAAUCGUACGUGGCAGCCGUAAUGUCAACACUUUGGGUGAGCACACAUUCAUGUUGUUUAGAUAAUCUGACUAAACUGUUUUUAAAACCAGUUUGAUUGCUGAUCUUCAUUUUAUCAACUUGUUGAGUACAAUCUAAUCAUAACUGAUAGUAAUCAUGACAAAAACAAGACCCAAGUUGUAAUAAACCAGGAUUAUCCUUUAGGUUUGGGUGUGCCAGACAGUCAUGCUUUACUUUAUCUUUCUCCUCGUCUCUCUCUUUCUCAGGGCAGGAGUUGACUUUAAUUGCAUAUAUGCCUAUGGAACGAUUUACAUAGAUUGUUGUAUUUAUUUAAAAAGCACUUUUUCAAGAAGCACUUUUGGUUUGUAUUUGGUGGUGCCCAGUGCCACCACGUUAUUCCCCACUCAAAGAGGUGGGAAUGUUUGACUUGAACGAGUGAGUUAUGUAGAUAAUUUAGAAUACUUUUUCUUCGAUGCUUUCUGCCAAAGUGUGUCUUCCCACCAGUCUUACAACUGGGUUUCAUAUCUGUGAAGUAGCCUCCUUUCUUGCAAUGGUGUCACAGGUCUAAGUUUAUCUAAAGCAGUCUUUGUUUGAUCCCUUUCAUGUUUUUUUUUCUUCUUUUUAGUCAUGUGAUGGAGUUAGCAGAGGAUGCCACAAGUCAAAGAAAGACUUGAAAGAUUCAUCUUAGAUCACAGAUAUUUUGCUUUUAUCUGUUCAGCACUUUGAGUUGUUUGAAGUGGAGCUGCACAGAGAGAAAGCAUUGGUUUAAGUCAGGGUUAGAGGAGAAAAACAGGGCUGUUUUGUUGUCAGGGUGUGUACAGGGUCAGAAUAUGUCAUCCCGUCUUUCGCCAAACCUAAGCACUGCGUCUGACCCUUACCUUUGUGUUUUGGUGUGUGUGUUUGUGUGUCCUUCACCUUGAGAGUGUGGUGUGUGUGUGCAGUGUAGCUACGGGUACGGUGUGAUGUUAUGCAUAAUGGCAUGAGGUACAAUACAGUCAUCUUUAAGUGCCGUUAAGUUUGCACAUUAGCCUCAUUCACCUCAUUGGGUAUGUGCUGUAUUGUACAGUGUAUGCCCAAAACUUUAAUUGAGAGACAAUGGGUGUUAAAUUGUUUCUUCAUCCCAUUAUCUGUUACUAACACUGAGGCCAUUUCAAAUCUUCCUCGCAUUAUAGCUGAUUACAUUUGUGUGUGUGUAUGUACAGUAUGUGUGUGGAAGUGUGUGUGGGAGUGGUGCGACAGGCAGCCGUGUUGUAAAAUGCCUUUUUUUGUAAAGUGGACUGAUGCUGGUGUUUUUUUUUUCUUUUUUUUUUUUUCAUUUAGGGAGUAAUGUGUCUGUUUCCUGUUGUCAAUUUAGCUUGUACAUUCAGAUAUGAACCUAAUAAAUAUGUCAGACCAAGAAAAACGCA